GCCCGGGUGGUCUAGUGGUAUGAUUCGCGCUUAGUAAGACUCCCUGAUCGGAUCAAAUCUCCACUUUACAAUUUACUAACCAACUCUCCAGGGGUUCACCCAAAGCAAUAUUGCGCGAGGUCCCCGGUUCAAUCCCGGGCUCGGGCC
rnacentral:tRNA from 2 species